rnacentral:rRNA from 1 species
GACGAACGCUGGCGGCGUGCCUAAUACAUGCAAGUCGAGCGCACUGCGUGAGAUAAGGAAGUACUUGUACUGAAUUAACUCACAAUGUAGUGAGCGGCGGAUGGGUGAGUAACACGUGGGUAACCUGCCCCAAAGCGGGGGAUAACAACCGGAAACAGUUGCUAAUACCGCAUAAACCUCGUAGUCACAUGACGACGAGUUGAAAGGCGGCUUCGGCUGUCACUUUGGGAUGGACCCGCGGCGUAUUAGCUAGUUGGUAAGGUAACGGCUUACCAAGGCGAUGAUACGUAGCCGACCUGAGAGGGCAAUCGGCCACAUUGGGACUGAGACACGGCCCAAACUCCUACGGGAGGCAGCAGUAGGGAAUCUUCCACAAUGGACGAAAGUCUGAUGGAGCAACGCCGCGUGGAUGAAGAAGGUUUUCGGAUCGUAAAAUCCUGUUGUUGAAGAAGAAAGUGCAUGAGAGUAACUGCUCAUGUAUUGACGGUAUUCAACCAGAAAGUCACGGCUAACUACGUGCCAGCAGCCGCGGUAAUACGUAGGUGGCAAGCGUUGUCCGGAUUUAUUGGGCGUAAAGGGAGCGCAGGCGGUUUGGCAAGUCUGAAUGUGAAAGCCCUCAGCUUAACUGAGGAAGAGCAUCGGAAACUGUCAAACUUGAGUGCAGAAGAGGAGAGUGGAACUCCAUGUGUAGCGGUGAAAUGCGUAGAUAUAUGGAAGAACACCAGUGGCGAAGGCGGCUCUCUGGUCUGUAACUGACGCUGAGGCUCGAAAGCAUGGGUAGCGAACAGGAUUAGAUACCCUGGUAGUCCAUGCCGUAAACGAUGAGUGCUAAGUGUUGGGAGGUUUCCGCCUCUCAGUGCUGCAGCUAACGCAUUAAGCACUCCGCCUGGGGAGUACGACCGCAAGGUUGAAACUCAAAGGAAUUGACGGGGGCCCGCACAAGCGGUGGAGCAUGUGGUUUAAUUCGAAGCAACGCGAAGAACCUUACCAGGUCUUGACAUCUCCUGAAAGCUCUAGAGAUAGAGUGUAUGUCCUUCGGGAACAGGAAGACAGGUGGUGCAUGGUUGUCGUCAGCUCGUGUCGUGGGAUGUUGGGUUAAGUCCCGCAACGAGCGCAACCCUUGUUGCUAGUUGCCAGCAUUAAGUUGGGCACUCUAGUGAGACUGCCGGUGACAAACCGGAGGAAGGUGGGGACGACGUCAAAUCAUCAUGCCCCUUAUGACCUGGGCUACACACGUGCUACAAUGGAUGGUACAACGAGAAGCGAACUCGCGAGGGCAAGCAGAACUCUAAAAACCAUUCUCAGUUCGGAUUGCAGGCUGCAACUCGCCUGCAUGAAGUUGGAAUCGCUAGUAAUCGUGGAUCAGCAUGCCACGGUGAAUACGUUCUCGGGCCUUGUACACACCGCCCGUCACACCAUGAGAGUUUGUAACACCCAAAGCCGGUGAGGUAACCUGUAAAGGAGCCAGCCGUCUAAGGUGGGACAAAUGAUUAGGGUG